AGCAAAGCAGAUGCAACCAAGCCAGGGCUCAAUUAGCACAGAGGAGGUAGGAGCGGGGGAAGCUGUGUGGCACCCCCAGGGGACAGCACAGACACUGCUGUGAUCAGGGCUGGCAGGAGGGAGGUGGCGGCCUGGUUGCUUCAGGGAAGGAUCUUUAACAAGCCCUCCCCAGACCGGAAGGAGAGCACACAUCACAGGACGACGGCCUGGAUCCCUGGUAGAUUUGCAGCUCCUGGUUCUAGAUGUUGCUGAGACCUGGCCCUGAAACUACUUGCCUGGGGGUCUCAGAUCUGUGUCCUCAUAAUGCAUCUUCCCUUUUCUGCUGUACAGCAGCUUAAGUGGUUUUGUUUCUUGCAACCAAAGCGGUCUUGAUUAAAAGAGUCUGAAACUAUGGCAUUUUGCAACAUGGACCUACUGAAUAAGCCUCCAAUCUGGAUUUUCUCUAAGCCCUAGAACUAUAUAUCUAACUGCCUGGUGGACUUCUCCACUUGGGGUACUAUAGGCCCCUAAACUCAAUAGCCAUUUUACUGUAAAUGU
rnacentral:lncRNA from 1 species